UUAUUUCAUGGUCAAGGAGCAACGCCAAGCCACCAAACAUCGACCAAACCCUUCUCUCUCUCUCAUCCUCUCUUGUUUCUGAUCCAAACAUCUUCUCCUCCAUUAAUGGUGUCUUAUAGAGUAUUUAAUCCUGAAAAUUUACGCUCCAUUUCUCUCUCUAAAAAAAAUAUAAAAAUUCAGUAUCACUCUCUUUCUUGAUCUUUAUGUUUUCAUAGAUCUUGUAGUUCUCUCUAUAUAUUUGAAAUCAAAUUAAGCCCUCAUGUCAAAUUCCAGUGCAAUUUUUUCAUAAUUUAUUAAUCUUUUUGGUACAACUUACAAUCUUUAGAGCUCUCAAAUGAAAUCUUCUCCAUCAGACGGAUGACCAUGGUGCUUGUUUCAUAGCUUUAAAAAAUCUGAAAAGAACAGAGAUGAACUAGAGCAAGGAGAGAAGAUGAGCUCAGAUUGGAGAUCAGCGUUUUACUUUUUCUGGCAAGAGAGAGAAAGAGAUGGGUAGAGGAGAGAUGGGAGAGAAGAGAAAUAAAUUAAAAUGGAGAUAACAUUAUUAAA